UACGUAGGGGGCAAGCGUUAUCCGGAUUUACUGGGUGCAAAGGGAGCGUAGACGGCUUUGCAAGCCAGAUGUGAAAGCCCGGGGCUCAACCUCGGGACUGCAUUUGGAACUGUAUGGCUGGAGUGUCGGAGAGGCAGGCGGAAUUCCUAGUGUAGCGGUGAAAUGCGUAGAUAUUAGGAGGAACACCAGUGGCGAAGGCGGCCUGCUGGACGAUGACUGACGUUGAGGCUCGAAAGCGUGGGGAGCAAACAGG
rnacentral:rRNA from 1 species